UACGUAGGGUGCGAGCGUUGUUCGGAAUUACUGGGCGUAAAGGGCGCGUAGGCGGCCUUCUAAGUCGAACGUGAAAUCCCCGGGCUCAACCCGGGAACUGCGUCCGAUACUGGAAGGCUUGAAUCCGGGAGAGGGAUGUGGAAUUCCAGGUGUAGCGGUGAAAUGCGUAGAUAUCUGGAGGAACACCGGUGGCGAAGGCGACAUCCUGGACCGGUAUUGACGCUGAGGCGCGAAAGCCAGGGGAGCAAACGGG
rnacentral:rRNA from 1 species